CGGGCGCGGCAGCCUAGAGGGGAUGUCUUUUUUGCAAAGCGAGUUCUCCAACUUUCCCGGGGCUUGGCGGAGCUCCGGGACGGCGCUGGGCCCCGAUGCGGGGGUGCCACUCAGAGGAGCCUUUGAGUCCUGGGCAUCCUCAAGUUGGUGACGGGGGAAAAAGGGGAUACCUUUCAGUGUCGCCCUACGGUGGGAGCUGAGGAGGUCCCUUUUAGAAGCAAAGGAGAAACAAACAGAUGCCCUCUGACAUCGCUGGAGCUCUGCAGGCCCUCCGAGGGGACCAUGGGAGCAGGAGCCGUUUUCUUGGAAAGCCACCUAGAAUAAAUGUUACCCUGUCACAGUC